rnacentral:lncRNA from 1 species
UGAAGGCCUUGAUUGACAGGCUACUUCAGGAUGGAAUGGAGGAGCUUCUUCAUGAGAUCAGCACCAUCAGAGACGUGAAAGGAGACAGACAGGAGCCAGACUCAAACAUCAUCACUGAAUACACCAGCUCAGUAAAGUACAGUCACCCACAAGAGUCAUUACCUGAUACGGGUUUGACUGAGGAAGAGUCUGAUCUUGAAGAGGGGCAGAUGCCUGAAUCAAGUCCUCCUGUAGUAGAAAAAGAAGUGGGUCGUACCCUUUCGAACAUCUCUACUAUUCACAAAAAGGCUGACCUGAGUAAAACCAAAGACAAGCUGGUAGAUGUCGAAGAAAAACUUGUGGAGACCAACUUCGGUGAUGUAACACCUUUGAAAUUUCUCCAAACCAACACUUCCUCUGAGAGGUUGGGUUCUGGGAAGGUAGAGGUAAGUAUGGAGACAGUUUUCCACAGCCAUGAGGACACGGGGAAGAAAACAUCUGGAGAGAAGAAGAAAAGCAGAGAGAGGGGAAAGGAAGAUCAAGACAACAUGGAAGACGAGGUUGAGGAAGCAUCAUCUGACGACGAGGAAUAUGAAUAUGAGGACGAGGUGCCCACGGAAGAGCCUUUUCCCUCUCGAGAGGAGAAGGGCGAAGGGGAGGAGCUAAAAUACUCAGCAACAACAGCUAUAUACACACAAGAAAAUGAGGGUGAAACAACUUCUCCGAUUACGCAGUCUUUAGAGGAGAUUACAAUGAUGGUUUACACAACAACAGCGAGUCCCCUGCUUUCAUCAAAAUUCACAGAGCAGAAGCCGCCUGAAACCACGUUAUUAUCAGUGCUAAAUACAACACAAACUGGAGAAGAGGAGCUCCCCUAAACUCUGUAAGAGAGACAUUCAAGUGUGUAGAAACUGUGAAGGGUAAAAGAGGGGGAGGAUCUGACUGGCCGGCAUUACUUUGGGAGAGCCUCCUUUCCCAUCACACAAUGAUGAUGUCAUUCGUCCAUGCUGCCUCCACCACGACUAGCGUUCAGUAUGCUCCAGUGCCUUUGAUAGAUUGAGAAGAACCACCGGCACUCUCUGAGGAGAGACCAGCCCGGUAAAAACAUAAAGAACAGAUCUUGUAAUGUGCUGUCUUUACACUUACUGAACAAAUGCAAGCUAAAUCAUCUAUAAUCCAUGUAGAAGUGACAGCACAAAACACUAAUGAAUGAAGUUGUUUUAAUAGAAAAUCAAAUAAAUUACCCUGACAGCUCAUUCAACAUCGAUUUGUUCAUCAGUUCCUUAUUUAUUGAUAAGACUGAAAAAAGAUUGUAUUUUGGUUGUCUGCAUAUUUAGUUUUUCAUUUGCGGUAACAUGUUGUGCUACCUGUUUUCACUGGUGAAAUUCAAUGGCAUAUUGCUUUUCUUUCAUAUUUAAUCUGUUUGUGCAUGUCUGUCAGUAAAUGUGUUCUUCCUAAACCAGUCUUAA